rnacentral:rRNA from 1 species
GACAGAGGCCUCAAGCGUUAGGCGGAAUCACUGGGCUUAAAGCGUGUGUAGGCGGAUCGUUAAGUGUCUUGUGAAAUCCCACGGCUCAACCGUGGAACUGCCGGGCAUACUGGCGAUCUUGAGGCAUUCAGGGGCGAGCGGAACAAAUGGUGGAGCGGUGAAAUGCGUAGAUAUCAUUUGGAACGCCAAUGGUGAAAACAGCUCGCUGGGAAUGAUCUGACGCUGAGACGCGAAAGCCAGGGGAGCGAACGGG